CUUUCAUGAAGGCUUCCUGCUUUCCAGACUGUCGGUCUCCCAGUUUUCCUUCUUCAGUUUUCCCUUAAAGCCUUAGGAACCUGUUUAGGUUGGCAGCUAAAGGUUGGAGAUCUAGCUCAGUUGGCAGAGUGCUUGCCUGGGGUGUAUGAAGCCCUUGUUCAGGUCCCCAUAUAAAGAGAGGGUGACGACACACAUCUUCCAUCCCAGCACUUGGGAGGUGGAGGCAGGAGGACUGGAGCUCAGGGUUGUCCUCACCUACAGUUUGAGAGAAGGACAAAUGCCUCUCCUCUUCCUUCCAGAGAAGGACAAAUGCCUCUCCUCUUCCUUCCAGAGAAGGACAAAUGCCUCCCACCUUUCCAAGGCUCAGAACUGACUUGGAUUCUAUACGACACAUCUCAGAUCUGCGUGUGCCCUGGUCACAAUGGCUUCUCAUUAAAAUGCAAACGGAGGGUGGAUGUGUGGAGGUCAGAAGACAACUGCAGCACACCUCCUCAGGUGUUCCUUACUUUGGUUUUAGAGGCGGGGUCUCUCACUGAGCCUGGAGCCUGCCGCUGGCUGGGCUAGCUGGCCGGUGAGACCCUGGGACCUUCCUGGCCUCUGCUGGGAUUAGAGGCAUGAGCAUCACCAUGCCUGACUUUCCGAGUCCGUGCUGGGAGUCAAAUUCAGGUCCUUGUGCACACAAGGCAGGUACUUUACAAACGGAGCUUUCUCCCCAGCUUGACAUCGUACACACAGGAUGGACACACAGGACCUUUCUCUGCUCUCUCCUUGCCCACGUUUAUGCUCUCUGGAAAGUCUUGGUGAAAUCUCACAGCCACAUGCUCCUCAGACACAGGAAACAGGGUCUCUGCACAAUGAAGGACUGCAACAUGGCUACAAACAUUUCACGUGAUUUUUCAAAACCAUCACUAAAUCCCACACUUCUGUACACAAAGUGAUCUUGCCUGGGCAGCUGGGUGAUAGGUGGAAGGACCAGGAUCAAGAAAGGAUCAUUAUGAGUUGGGUUCAGUGUGCCUGACAGAGUGACAUUUUUGAAAUCAGACACAUGAAGGCUUGGCUCUUAGCCGAUAACUGACCUGGCCUCUUCAAACCCCUACUUUCUUCGUCUCUAAAAUGGGAUCAGUACAGUGGAAGUCCAGCAAGGAGAAGAGGUACGUGAGAGACGCACAUGCUGGCUGACCGUGGUGCAGGUGUGGCACUGGUCCUCCAUGGCUUCUCUGGAGGUCACUGUGACUGUGGACCUUUUUGUCUGAAGUAAGCAGACAGCCAUGUUGGAAGGACUGAGAUGACAGGAAUGAGGGAAAAUGGGGCUGGAGAGAUGCUCAGCAGUUAAGAGCACUGUCUGCUCCUCCAGAGGUUCUGAGUUCAUUUCUCAGCACCCACAUGGUGCCUCACAACCAUCUAUAAUGUGAUCUGAUGCCCUCUUCUGGCAUGCAGGUGUGCAUGCAGAUAGAGCACUCAUACACAAUAAAUAAAUAAAAUAAAUAAACAAAUUCUUUAAACCAGAGUGAAGAAAGAUGGGGGAGCUCAUAAGGGCCGAGUGUGGCCUUGCUCUCUUCAGCUGAGCUUCAGGGAUAACGAUGUACGAAACUCUCACAUCCAAGCUUCCUCCUGCUCUGGAGCGGCAGAUACAAGAAGUAAAGGAAACUCAGAAGGAAAUAGUAAAUCCAUGAAACAGAUGGACAGUCUUGAUUAAACAUUCUAUCUAUCUAUCCAUCUGUCAUCUAUGUUAUCUAUGUAUCUAUCAUUAACCCAUAUAUCUGUUCAUCUAUCUUUAAUCUUCUCUAUAUGAAUCAUGAAAAUUUCUAUAUGUAUUAAUAUAACAGUAACAGUUUUCAUACCAAAAAUGUUUUAAAAUUUAUUGUGCGUGUGUUUGUGUACCACAUGCAUGUGGCAACUUUGGAGAGCUGGGUUUUGCCUUCAUCUUGUUGAAGCAGGGUUUCUCUUGUUUCUCCUGUUGUGCCAUGUAUUCUGGCUUUUAUUUUUUUUCCUAGUCGUGGGUUCCAGUUUUUAAUCUGGAUUGCCAGGCUUGUGUAGCAAGUGCUUUUACCUGCUGGUCCCUGGAAAUGUUUGAUAAUUAUCUAUUAUCAAAAAGAGAAAGUUAUUCUUCAUGUCCAUUUAUGCAUCCAGCCCUCCUCCCGGUGUGAGUGUGUGCUCAUGGUAAGUUCACUGAAUAGUGUGUGUGUGCAUGACUGGCCCAGUAAUGAAGACAAAGACCUCUGGAGUUAUAUAAAAAUGUGCUGUGCUUGCAAGUAUCAGCCAUACACGCACAAGUGUGCUCAUGUUCUGUGAACAUGUGAGUGUGUGUGUUCAUGAGCCUGCACUUGUGUAACCAGAUGGAUGAAUACUGUUAUAUGUAUAUA